UGAACUGUCAACAAAGAUGAGGUUGACAUUAGUGCUUCUGGUUGCCGUGUUAAUUCUAACAGCAGUUUCAGUCUUAAAUGCAGAACCUUUAAAUCAAUUAAAAAAUGUCAGGAAAAAACGAGAUACAAGAGGAAAACCUGGCCAAUCACCACCAUUUGUUGCAAAAGAAGACACAAGGACAAAAAGGGAGGUCAAGCCGGAACCAGAUGUAAUCUUACGAUAAUUACCAUAUCCUGUGAUUGAUAUUAGUUUUUUU